CACUCUAUGUCUGUCUCCCUGUAGCAGUCUAUGUGCUGCACUCUAUGUCUGUCUCCCUGUAGCAGUCUAUGUGCUGCACUCUAUCUCUGUCUCCCUGUAGCAGUCUAUGUGCUGCACUCUAUCCCUGUCUCUCUGUAGCAGUCUAUGUGCUGCACUCUAUCUCUGUCUCCCUGUAGCAGUCUAUGUGCUGCACUCUAUCCCUGUCUCUCUGUAGCAGUCUAUGUGCUGCACUCUCUGUAGCAGUCCCUGUCUCUCUGUAGCAGUCCCUGUACAGAGCAUGUGCUGCUGGUGGAUGC